rnacentral:tRNA from 1 species
UGGGAUGUAGCUCACUGGUAGAGUACUUGCCUAGCAUGUGCAAGGUCCUGAGUUCAAUCCUCAGCACCACAA